rnacentral:tRNA from 1 species
AAGGGUAUCAUUCACUGGUAGAGUGCAUGCCUAGCAUGCAUGAGGUCCUGGGUUCAAUCCCCAGUACCUCCA